rnacentral:rRNA from 1 species
GCAGUCGAGCGGACAGAAGGGAGCUUGCUCCCGGAUGUUAGCGGCGGACGGGUGAGUAACACGUGGGUAACCUGCCUGUAAGACUGGGAUAACUCCGGGAAACCGGAGCUAAUACCGGAUAGUUCCUUGAACCGCAUGGUUCAAGGAUGAAAGACGGUUUCGGCUGUCACUUACAGAUGGACCCGCGGCGCAUUAGCUAGUUGGUGAGGUAACGGCUCACCAAGGCGACGAUGCGUAGCCGACCUGAGAGGGUGAUCGGCCACACUGGGACUGAGACACGGCCCAGACUCCUACGGGAGGCAGCAGUAGGGAAUCUUCCGCAAUGGACGAAAGUCUGACGGAGCAACGCCGCGUGAGUGAUGAAGGUUUUCGGAUCGUAAAGCUCUGUUGUUAGGGAAGAACAAGUGCAAGAGUAACUGCUUGCACCUUGACGGUACCUAACCAGAAAGCCACGGCUAACUACGUGCCAGCAGCCGCGGUAAUACGUAGGUGGCAAGCGUUGUCCGGAAUUAUUGGGCGUAAAGGGCUCGCAGGCGGUUUCUUAAGUCUGAUGUGAAAGCCCCCGGCUCAACCGGGGAGGGUCAUUGGAAACUGGGAAACUUGAGUGCAGAAGAGGAGAGUGGAAUUCCACGUGUAGCGGUGAAAUGCGUAGAGAUGUGGAGGAACACCAGUGGCGAAGGCGACUCUCUGGUCUGUAACUGACGCUGAGGAGCGAAAGCGUGGGGAGCGAACAGGAUUAGAUACCCUGGUAGUCCACGCCGUAAACGAUGAGUGCUAAGUGUUAGGGGGUUUCCGCCCCUUAGUGCUGCAGCUAACGCAUUAAGCACUCCGCCUGGGGAGUACGGUCGCAAGACUGAAACUCAAAGGAAUU